AUGCUCAAUGACAGGAUAAAUACUUGUGAUCUUCUGACCAGGAAAAGUUUUCAUCUUGAUUCCACCAACUGUGUAUUAUGUAAUGAUGAAGGCAUGGAGGACAAAACUCACCUACUUUUCUCUUGCCCAUUUAGUCAGGGCUUUUGGUGGAGCAUUGGUAUUGAGUGGAAUAGGGAUAUAAUCAUCUAUGAUAUGAUAAUUGAAGCAAAAUAAAGAUACCAACUUGGUUUUUUCAUGGAAAUCAUGACUGUAGGCUGCUGGAGUAUCUGGAUUCAAAGGAAUGGACUGAUCUUUGAAGGAAUACCUUGCUCACUCACAGAAUGCAGAUAUGACUUCAUCAAAACAUUCAAAUUGACUAUGCUUAGAGCCAAGCCUAGUCUUAAGGAUGGCAUGUCAUCCUGAAUUGACAAUAUUUGA
rnacentral:rRNA from 1 species